CCCUGUAACACGGCCCAAAAGUUUGAUAACGUUAUGAUACGCACCCUACUAAGGUAUCUAUAAAAAUGCACGCUGCCCGAAAGGCAUCUAAAAGGUGUGCGCCUUAGUAAGUCCUAUAUUAGCUCCGGAACUAAACGUAAUCAAUAACGGGUUCUAUACAUAGUCAGACUGAGGAUUUCAAAAUCUUUUCUCAAUAUUAUC
rnacentral:lncRNA from 1 species